GACGAACGCUGGCGGCGCGCUUAACACAUGCAAGUCGAGCGAGAACCCAGGCUUCGGCCUGGGGGAAAGCGGCGAACGGGUGAGUAACACGUGGGUAAUCUGCCCUCGGCAUCGGGAUAGCCCGGGGAAACCCGGAUUAAUACCGAAUGGCCCAUCUGCUCUUCGGAGCGGCUGGAAAAGGUAGCUUUGGCCUCCGGCCGAGGAGGAGCCCGCGGCGGAUUAGCUUGUUGGUGAGGUAACGGCUCACCAAGGCGACGAUCCGUAGCUGGUCUGAGAGGACGAUCAGCCACACUGGGACUGAGACACGGCCCAGACUCCUACGGGAGGCAGCAGUGGGGAAUCUUGCGCAAUGGGCGAAAGCCUGACGCAGCGACGCCGCGUGCGGGAAGAAGGCCUUUGGGUUGUAAACCGCUUUCAGGAGGGACGAAGCCACUCGGGUUAAUAGCCCAGAGGGUGACGGUACCUCCAGAAGAAGCCCCGGCUAACUACGUGCCAGCAGCCGCAGUAAUAC
rnacentral:rRNA from 1 species